UUAUCACUAUCAGCGAGUUGGAUAUUUGUCGAAGUCCCUUGUGUACAGAAUUUGUGCUUUGUUUUUGCUGCACAUUGUUUUCUUUUGUUAAGAUAUUUUACUCGUUGACAGUGAUAGGGACUUCAUAUUGCUGCAUAUUGGUUCAUAUUAUAUAAAUCUAGUAAAAGUUAAGAUAUUUUGAUAGGGAAAAGGAAGAAGACAGGGGUAUUGUUGUCCUUUGUUGAAACUUUAACGGUGUUAGCCCUCCCCCUCACUGAACCAAGAGACCAUCAUAGCAAAUGAGUGCUUUCUCCCCCAAGUCCAGUCAAAGUCUCCUCCCUCACCACUUCACUGGCGAGCUCCAGCUGCAGCACAACUUCAGCAGCCCGCUUUCAAUCGAUGAGGCCUAACUAAGCAUCGUGUAGCUGAAUUACUUCAUAAGCUGGUUUAGAUUCUCCUAAUCUGAUUCUGGCACAGCUCUUAUCUUAGGCGUAUUGUGGUGUAGUACUGCUCUGUUUUGGAGUCUUCUGCCGUGCUGCUCAUCUAGAUCGAGAUCUCCAAUCACUAUUUGGUCAUCGGCUCUUUACCUUAUCCAUUUGGCAACAAACUUUUGCCCUUUUGAUCGGUUUGCAUCUUUCCGAGGGAAUUUCCUCAAUUAUUAUAAGGGUUAUAAAGGGUGAAUAUCAGUGGUCAUACCGAUGUAUCAGCACUGCUAUAAUUUCUUUGGAAAUGUUCACUACAUAUAACCUCUUCAUUUGUGUGCUGGACUCUCAAGGUAGUACUGUCUUUUUUUGAAAAUAAGAUGAAAAGAAGGAUGUGGUCAUCUCCCAUGCUAUAAGAUGCUCCUUAAGUUUAAUGUGCUCUCUUGUCAGUUUUAUUCUACACAUCGUCUGUAUGUGCAAAGGUGGGUGCACUUCAUCUCCACAACACUAGGAACCAUCAGCGCCUAACAACCAUUGUGAUCGAUGGAGGACCCGGGCCUGUUGAGCGCAUUUCUAGACAACCUCGUGUCAAGAUUGUUCUCGCUGGCGGAGGAGAAAUACAAGCUCUACAAGGGCUUUGAUGGAGAUCUGGCUUUUCUGAAGAGUGAGCUUAAAAUGAUCACUAGUGCCAUUGAUGAGCAGCUCUUGGGGCAGGAUGGUCAGAUACUACGUCUGUCCGUUGAAGAGUUGCGCCAGCUAGCUCAUGAAAUGGAGGACUGUAUAGACCACAUCAUGUACGAUGCGUCAUGGGAACAGCAACAACCAUGGUACUGUAAAAUGGUUAACACUGGGAAGAAGAGAAAAUCACGUUCACAGAUAGGCGAAGAGAUGCAGCAACUAAGGUGCAGAUUGGAGGAAGCACUCCAACGACAACAGAGGUAUUCAGUGUCCCGUCCAUCCACAUUUCAGCCAGCAGAAUCAUCCUUGAAUCAGCAUAUCCUUCCAGCUGAGUUGGUUGGCAUCAAGCCACCCCUUGAGGAGCUUCUGGAGCAGUUGAAUGAAAUUGAAGGUCAACCCAAGCAGUUGAAAGUGAUCUCAAUAGUUGGCUUCUGUGGAUUGGGGAAGACCAUCCUUGCCCGGGAGUUGUACAACAGCAUGAUCGGCAAGCAAUUCGACGAAAGGGCAUGGGUUUCUGCAGUGCAUGGGGAUCCGAGCAAGCUCUUAAUAGAGUUACUCAAGGAACUGCAUAAACCACCACCGGAUACCUCCGAUGUCUACCAGCUUAGUACUGAUCUAAGGAACUUCCUAAAUAACAAGAGGUAUUUCAUUGUAAUUGAUGACAUGCGGUCAGAUCAAUGGAGUACUAUAAAGUCUGCCUUUCCUCGAGGUGUUAGCAGCAGAAUAUUGGUGACAACGAAAAUCAAGUCAGUGGCUAAAAGUUGCAGCUCGACCAACGGCUAUAUUCACAGAAUGACAAGACUUGACAAGAAACAUUCAAAGCAAUUAUUCCUGAAGGAAGCUUGUCCGGUGGAAUAUUCAGAGUACAUGGGGCCUGAUUUGGCAGCAAUUUUGAAGAAAUGUGAUGGUCAACCACUCGCUCUGACUACCGUUGGCCAAUUCAUGGGAAAAAAGAGUUGGCCAACAGGACAUGACUGUGAAGAUGUGUGCAACCAGGAACGGUUUUACCAUCUGCAGAGUGGUGACGAUACUUUGGACAGAAUGCAUAAGGUGCUGAUCCAUGACUACACCAGUCUGCCUAGCCAUGCUCUCAAAGCUUGCUUUCUGUAUUUUGCUAUGUUUCCAAGUGAUCAUCCAGUAAGGGCAAAAAGGCUAAAGAGGCAAUGGUUAGCUGAGGGAUUUCUGCAGCCAACAAAUUUAUGCACUGACCUUGCAGCUGAAAAUUUCGAGAAACUCUUGGACCAGAACAUCAUCGAACCCAUUGAUGUGAGCAACAACACAAUUGUGAAAACAUGCAAAACUUAUGGCAUGAUGCACGAGUACAUUACGCUCAAGUCUCUCUAUGAAAACUUCAUCACUUUGUUUGAUGGAGGGGAGCUCCACCCUAAAAAUGCCCGUCGUGUUUCUCUCCGUCACAACACUAUUACAGAUGAUGCCACUUUGAACAUUGAUCUCUCUGUUAUCAGAUCUCUGAUAGUAUUUGGGGAGGCAGGUAAAACUAUGUUGAAUUUCAACAAGUACCAACUACUAAGGGUCUUGGACCUCGAAGACUGUACAGAUUUGCAAAAUGAUCAUCUCAGAGAAAUAUGCAACUUAUUGCUUCUUAAAUAUCUGAGCCUAGGAGAAAAUGUUACCAUCCUUCCCAAAGAGAUAAAACAACUGAAACUUUUGGAGACACUCAACCUAAGGAGAACGAAUAUAAAGAUACUUCCAACUGAAGUUAUUCAGCUGCCCCAUAUAAUUCAUCUCUUUGGAAAAUUCAAGCUUCCAGAUAAAACCAUAAAUGAUGAACUGCAGAAAUUUCUUACUUCAGCCAAAUGUAAAGUGCAGACACUGGCAGGAUUUCUUGUAGAUGAAAGUGACGGAUUUGCAGAACUUAUGGGUCAUAUGAAAAAAUUGCGGAAGGUAAAGAUCUGGUGUGAGUCAUCUGCAACUAGUAGUAAAUUGACCAUUCUUCAGAAGGCCAUACAGGAGUUCAUUCAUGACGACAAGGAUGCAAGCAAUGAUCCUCGUUCUUUGUCACUCCAUUUGGACGGAUGCUCUGAAGACUUUCUGAAAGAACUGAAAGCUCCCUGCUAUCUUAGGUCGCUGAAAUUACAGGGCAGGUUACUAGAACUCCCUGGGUUUGUCACGGCACUGCGCCGACUCAGGGAGUUAUGCCUUCAGUCAACUAAACUUACAGCUGAUCUUCUCUCAGCUUUGACAAAUUUGAAGCAUCUGCAGUACCUUAAGCUGAUUGCUGAUGAACUUGAAGAAAUCACCAUUAAGAACAAGGCAUUGCCAAGGCUGCUCUGCCUAUGUAUUGUGCUGCAGCAUCCAACAUUCCCAAAGAUCGAAGAAGGCGCCUUGCCAUUUCUUGAAUCUCUUCAGCUGCUUUGUAAAGAGAUGGAUGGCCUCUCUGGAAUCCAGAUUAAAGGUUUCACACGGCUGAGGGAAGUAACUCUUGAUAUUAGAGUCAACAAUAGUACUAAAGUGAACUGGGUGAGGGUGACUAAGGAACAUCCGAACAAACCAAAAGUUCUGCUGCUCAAAAGGGCUGUACCAACUGAAGUUUAUCUUGGAGGAGCUUCUGCUUCAUUUGGGACAACUGAGAAUGGAAUUGUAAAUUGCUCUGUUCUGUCAGAGGGACAACAAGUACAGGAAACUGACACCCAAAUGCCACAUGACGAACCAAAUUCUGUUUUCAGUAAUAUAGGACAUCCAGUGGUUUGUGCAGCUGGUUCGUCCAUUGCUGGCAAUGGCACAAUGGCUUCUUAAUUUUUCAUUUCUUACAUGAAUGAUGACGAUCAGAUCAUUGAGGGAGCAUCAUGCAUGAGGUGAACAAUUCAGAUCAGGAUUACUAUUAGUGGGUAGAGUUGCUACUUCGGUUUGUCAGACAAUGGUGAAGAAUGUUCCAUUUCCUGAUGGGUGGAAUAAAAAGGAAAAGCUAUUUAUGUGGACACGAACUAAACUGUGCUCCUGAUGCAAGUCCUCCAUUAUGGAAUCUCUGAACUAUCUCAUCUAAUAAUUUUGUUUUACUCCAACUGUCUAAAUGGCUCCACUCUAGAGUCAUGGCUACAAUCAUUUGCCCAUUGUAUCUGAAUUUAGUACUCAGCUCAAAAUGUCAAAUGGUACGUACACGCAAGUGGUGUAUUCACGUCCUCCUAGAUCAGGAGUCUUUCCUGCAGUCUGAACUUUGUUUUCCCUUUAGAAUCUGUAUAAUAAAUGUAGAUGGAUCCUUUGAUGAUUUGCUCUA